rnacentral:rRNA from 1 species
UACGUAGGGGCCUAGCGUUGUCCGGAUUUAUUGGGCGUAAAGAGCUCGUAGGCGGUUUGGUGAGUCGGGUGUGAAAUCUCCACGCUCAACGUGGAGGGGCCACCCGAUACUGCCAUGACUAGAGUCCGGUAGGGGAGUGUGGAAUUCCCGGUGUAGCGGUGAAAUGCGCAGAUAUCGGGAGGAACACCAGUAGCGAAGGCGGGUCUCUGGGCAGUAACUGACGCUGAGGAGCGAAAGCGUGGGGAGCGAACAGG